GACGUGGGGGGCCAGCGUUGUUCGGAAUUACUGGGCGUAAAGCGCGCGUAGGCGGUUUGCUAAGUCAGAUGUGAAAGCCCAUGGCUUAACCAUGGACGUGCAUUUGAAACUGGCAGACUUGAGUAUUGGAGGGGGUGGUGGAAUUCCCGGUGUAGAGGUGAAAUUCGUAGAUAUCGGGAGGAAUACCAGUGGCGAAGGCGACCACCUGGCCAAAUACUGACGCUAAGGUGCGAAAGCGUGGGGAGCAAACAGG
rnacentral:rRNA from 1 species